UACCAGCACCCCGAGUGGUCGGGACGAUUAUUGGGCCUAAAGCAUCCGUAGCCGGUUUUACAAGUCCUCCGUUAAAUCCAGCUGCUUAACAGAUGGGCUGCGGAGGAUACUAUAAGACUAGGAGGCAGGAGAGGCAAGCGGUACUCAGUGGGUAGGGGUAAAAUCCGUUGAUCCAUUGAAGACCACCAGUGGCGAAGGCGGCUUGCCAGAAUGCGCUCGACGGUGAGGGAUGAAAGCUAGGGGAGCAAACAGG
rnacentral:rRNA from 1 species